CUUGUGUAGGUUUAUCUAAAUGAAGUGUGAUUCUAUAGAUCUAUUAAGUAUUCUUAGAAGAUUCUAAGGUUUAUAUAGUGAAUUAAAAGAUUCAUGAAAAUAAUUGAAAGCUCUGAAGCUUUUGUCUCGACACUUUCCUCUCGACAUCUCGAUAAUUUCCUGUCAUUAGUUCUACCAUUUUGGUAUUACCUUGAUUCUUAAAUGCUUUUGUUCAUUUUAGCUAACAGCGAUAGAAAUUCUGAAGCUUACAAAUUAACCAUGAUAGUUGGAGAGCGCGCACCUGGGAAUAUAGAGAUCAGGACUACUGCCUGCCGGCUUUGUCGCCUGUUCGUGGGAGGGCCGCCGCUGGCCAGCCAGUCCCACACCUCCUGUGAUGCCCACCCUGCCCCGUGCGCUCACCUUCUGUACCGCUGGCUGAUAAUCCGCAGUCACCUCCCACGGCUGUGCUUUUACCCAUAGGAUUACCUGCAGGGUCCUGAAUGUUGAGCUUGGCCAUGGACGAAGACUACAAAGGCGACCACAGCGUUGAUCGGAUCGGAAAAAAAGAGAUUGCUAUGGAUUUAGAUGGUUCUAUUAUAUAUGGGCUUAGAUGUUUUCUUAGACGUGCAUUUAGGAGGUCACAGCAUCAUGAAGGUUCAUCAAGUGAUAAGUAUUGUAUCAGGCAGUUCUGAACAUCACUGGUUUUCAAAAAACGCCAUGCAGUGCAAGAUUCCGGAUUAUUUGGAAUCUUCAUGCUGAUGCAGCAGCGGAAGGUUUUAGAUUGGUUUCAGAUUAUUUGGCGUUUUUAUGGUGAGUCGAGCGAAAAUAAGCGAACUGACACCAUCGUGGCCGCAGCUGCUGGAUCACAUCUUUGCCCCGGGUGCCGUUGUCUCCCCUGUGUUCUGUUGUGCUUGCUUAGCUGACUAAAAUUCUGGAAAACUACAGUGUAUAAUCUACAGAACCUCUCUCUCUAAGAGGACCAAGCUGCCUGAACAAUAGUGGCUAUCCUUUUGAUGAUAACACAGGGAGAGAUAAUGUACGAGUACAGCGCAACCAUGUUGCUGAUGGGUUUCAGUUCCGUCUCAAGAAUGGGCUAAUGAGCAUGGAGAUUGGUCAUAAGGACAGUGCUAUAAUCAACGAUCUAUUUAUGCUCAACAAUGUAUUAUUGGUGUUUGCUAGCAAGCAAGACAUGCUAGCGUAACAUGGUUCUUCCGGUAGACACAAGGUUUAACAAUGGAUGUUUUAAGUGAGCACUCAUGGUCAUUAUUCAUAAUUGAUGAUGCAGAGAAGCCCAGGAACGAUUGAAGAGCCCUGGACGUGCUUUUCCAAAAAAAAUUAACUCCAAGUAGUACAAAUCCUUUGUUGCACUGCAUAUUUUGCAUCUGAUUCAGUUAGAAUAACGAUGGAAAUGCAGGUUCAAUGGGUGCAUCUGGUUGGUCUUCUUGUAGCUCUCAACAUCAGCCUCAUGUUCAGUUAUCUUAGGAGUAUAAACCUCAAAUCUAAAAGGGGUAGAUCAGCAGCUAAAGGUAUACUAAAAUUGUUGGAGUAUGCGACUCUGUUCAGCGAUGGCCUUGAUGGAGCUUUUCUGAUGAUCUUGCUGGGUAUCUAAGUGAUAAGCGAUAAGUUUUUGUCCUUGCUGCAAAAAGAAGAAAAGUGCUGCAAUCAGCCUUUGGGGUUAUUUUGUCCUCCAAAAGAUAUAUGAGGCAAUCAAGUUUUUUCCUGGCAGCGGUGGCGGCAUCUGUGUGUUCGAUCUGUUGGCAUGGAGUGUGGCACCUAGGCCCUGGAUAUCAAUGACAAUGGGGAGCAGGUGUUGGCUUGUAUGGUAGUGAGACACAUGCGACUGCUAUUCAUGGAAGGUUGCGAAAGUGGUGAGAUUGCGUGGUCAAGAUUAAUAUCUCAUCAGGCUCCUCGGAUCCUCCCAAGAAUUGAGAGUACACACAUCCAAUCUAAGGACAAGGCAGCUUUGGCAUGACAACAUUUGGGUUGCUAUUCCAAAGGAUUCUACAAGAUGUGCUGGAAGCUCACAUAGGAGUCGGACAAAGAAACUCAGGGGGCAGUCAUCUUGUACUGUAUGACGGGGUUGUGUUUGAGGGAAAUAUGUCUCGAGGCAUGAAGAGGAAAUCAUCUGCUCCAUCAGCUUUCCCUAUGCAGCACAAUGAACUUACUAAGAAAUUUCAGACUUCUCGCUGUGAUGGAAGACACCAAUAUCCUGGUCCUGGAGAUUCUCUUCAUUUGAUGGAUAAGAUAGAUAUUGUUGAUUCCCCAUGCUUAAUGCUGGGCGAAAAAUGCAUGCAUGAUUUCUUAAAUAACAGAGCAAAUGGCUUUCAUAAAAAGAAUUGUUGUUCCUUUAUAUCUAA